rnacentral:lncRNA from 1 species
AACCAUACUCAUACAAUAGCCUCGGGUAAAUCUCUCUCAUCCGAUUCUCUUUCUCCCACGUAGCUUCUUCCGUUGAAUGGUUCCUCCACAAUACUUUUACCACUUACUCUGUCUAAAUUCUCAGGACCUUCUUUUUCCAAUCCAAAGUCGUCCUUGGUUCCUUAUCAAGUCGAAUCCAAUUUAAUUCUCAAUAGUUGCACCAGAAUCUCAUGUGACGAAUCUGCCACCUAGUGACAACGUAUCGAACCCAAAAUACAUUAAGUACCUUAGCCAACUCUGAAGACAUCACCACUUGUAUGCGACUUAUUGAUUCCUUUAGUGAUCAAAAAUGGUCUGAUGUGUCUAAAUCUUAUCUUGUCUCCUUUCCAAUUCUCGCCAUUUCUGUUCGUGGUGAAUUUUCCAAAAUAUCGAAUCAUGAAACACAUCAUGCACUUAUAACAAAUCUGGAAGCCAUUCAAUUCUAUAAUCAACUUCACCAACCUUUCGAUGAUCACGCUAAGUCCGAUUCAUUUAGGAUUUAACUUGCCUUCCUUUCCAACCUGAGUUAUACUUUUCUAGGGUGAACACUUCGAAAAUAUAAAACCAUUUACCUUAUAUACUCGAUUAGUGGCAUAUCAAUAUGUUGAUCUCUUUUGCCAUUCCUGGUUACUUCAGGUUAACUUAAUCACCUGAAUACUUUGAGGAGACUCAUCCAUAGUCUCAGGGCCUACUAAAACUCUUUCUUGAUCGAAUCUUUCUCUAUUCAGAAGCAUUUCAUUCACACGACGCUUCAGGGACCCUAUGGCGUUAUUUCGGAAACUGCGCACCCAACAUACUUAAGAAACUUAGCAGUUCCGUAAACCAAUUCUUCUUUCUAUAAAACAAAUAAGUACCGUUACUCAACCCUGGAGUAAAUGUACUAACUUGGUACAUUGACCAACUAUCGCUUCAAAUUCAAUCAUAACCAUCCUAUGUAUCAUGAAACUUGUACACAUAAUCCAAAGUAAUAUUUUUCCAUUUCCACUGCGAAACAGAAAAUAACCGUCUCAAUCCAAAGGUUUACUUCUUUCUACUUCAAUCUAUUGACCAAUAAAAACGUCAAAUGGUAUACUAGAUCUCAUUACUUUUGGAAUAUUGCAGAAGUUGUACAGUGUACUUCGUCCAAAAUUGCUUGCUUUAAAUCCUCAGCAUUCGGUACAUACUUCUUACUUUCUUGUAUCCACAUACCAUUUGAUUCACGAAUCAUGUACUCAUUCUUUUUCCUUUCUUUCCUUGCCUUGGUUAAUUCUUAAAUUCCUCGUCAAACAUUUAAGUUUCGAGUACGACCUUACCAAACAGGCCUAACUUGAAAUUUAACAAGUAUAACUUCUUCUCGAUCUUCCAUUCUUAAUUUUUCUUCCGUUGGUUUUCAAUCCACAAGAUGAUACUCUUGGCAAACGUGCCAGACAUUAAUCAUACUGUAGUCUUCUCACCAAGUGCUUCAGCUACAACAAUUCACGAUCACCCUGAUCGUACCAUCAUAAUCACUAAGUAAUUGAAUCCACCUUUGUUGCCUCAUAUCAAAAUCCUUCCGAAUAAACAAAUAUUGGAGACUCUUUUGAUUUGUAAAUCUUGCAUUCUUAUCAACAUAUAAUGUCUCCACAACUUCACAGCAAGGAUGAUAAUCGUGACUUCCAAGUCACCAGUAGGGUAAUUCAUCUCAUUAGGUUCCAUUUGUCGUGAAACAUAUUCAAUCACCCUAACAUUUGCAUCAAUACAUCUCCAAGAAUAUUUAAUGUACCAUCACCAUAAACCAAUAAUUACCGCUAUCUUCUGGGAUUACUAAAAUACGUGCAUGAGUGAGGAAAUACUCCAGUUGUUGAAUCCUUUGCUCACAAUUUCCUUCCCACUCAUACAUAACCUCUUUUCUCCACAGUCUCGUUAAUGACAAAGCAAGGACUGAAAAAUCUUUCACAACCAUCCAAGAUAGCCUGGUAAGCUAAGAAAUUCCGAAUCUCAAUUAUGGCUCGUGGUUCCAAAUUCUCAAUUUCUGCUAUCUUUUAAGGAUUCACUUGAAUACCUUAAGAAUAUAUAACAAAUCUCAGAAUGCCACCUGAUUCAUCUAACUUUAGCAUUUGCUACUUAGCAUACAACCAACGUUCUCUCAAUCUUUGCUUCACCGACUUAAUACAUUUACAUGCUCUGCUCUGGUUCAGAAUAUGCCAGAAUAUCUUCAAUGAAAAUGAUAUCAAUUUAUCAAGGCAUUAUUGGAAUACUUCAUCCAUCAACUCAUAAAACAGCAUGAGUAUCCACAUAGCAUCACCAAACUUCAUAAGGACCAUAACAAGUCCAGAAAACCAUCUUAUGAUCAACGUCACUUAAUAUUCAAUUGGUAGUAACCAGAUCUCAAUUCAAUCUUUGAAUCUUCGCAAUUACUUCUGAGCUGGUUAAAUAAACAUCAGUACAUCACCAUGGAUAACGGUUCCCAAUCGUUACCCGAUUCCAUUGUCUAUAAUCAAAGGAUAGUCUUAAAAUCCAUUUUCUUCCUCACCAACAAACUGGUGCUCCUCAAAAGUGUUGUACUAGGUUGAAUGAAAAUUUUAUCAACCAAUUCUUUCAACUGAAUUUCCAAUUCCCUUAACUCAUCAUGAACCAAUCUUUAACAUAAAUUUAUACCUGGCAACAAAUCAAUAGUGAACCUCAUAUCUCUGCCUGAAGGCAAUCCAGGUAUACUUUCAAGGAAGACAUCAAGAAAAGUCUAACCCUUUCGACAUUAUUCACACUACUCCAAACAACAUUAUUUAGCACCACAUGAGCUAAGUAUUUUUGACAGCCUUUCGAAAACAAUCUCUUUGCUCUUACAGUAUAAAUAACGGCCUGACUCAAUCCACUUUGCAUACUUACAAAAGUAAUCUUUGGUCAUCCAGAUCGAUGGAAAGUAACUGGUUUCCCGUAACAUUCCAUCUAGUCACAACUAUAAACAACCAAUCUAAUGGAAUAAAAUUAACUGAUACAAUAUAAAUUCUAUUAUUAUUAAGCAUUCUAAAUAAGUACAAUACUAACAUAAAAUAAUCUACCGGGUUGCUUGCUUAACGAAUCCACGAAUGAGUUAUUAAUAUUACGGUCUGCAGCCCGCAAUACUGAUAAAUCAUCGUUGUCUCGAUAAGUAGGCAACCACUCUCAAAGAUAUAACAUUACUAUUUUGUCACUCAAUGCAAAAUACAUACACUCGUCUCAACUACAUUUAUUUACUACUCUUUAGGUAAGAACAUACAUAAUAAGAAAUAUAUCAGCCGAAGUCAACUAGAAUGACCAAUACGGCUGAUUCAACUCUUAUCUCAAUAAUACGUCGGCCGGAUCCACUCCGCGUGGUCGGUACGGCCGAACCUAUAACUCACCAAUUUCUCAUGGUCUGUACGGCUGAACAUAUAACUCAUCAAAUCUCUCUGUACUCACGGUCAAUCCGACCAAACUACCAAGUCCAUAACUCUGCUGAAUCGACACUAUGAUAUCAUGGAAAAUUGUUGAGUACAACUGAUUCUAGGGACAAUUCACAAUUCUGCGUCCCCUCUGUUCACAUAAACACAUUUAUUAAUUUCACACUUCCCAAAGUGUUAAUUUUGUACCUGCUGCACAAGGUACAUUUCCUUUACUCGAGACACCUUGUCUCAAAUAUCUGGAUGGAACGAGGCAAGUCUAAAAACUUUCUAUAAUAUUCAUUUAUCGUCAACUUCCUUGAUUCACACUUGCAAACUCUUGCUUACUACCAUCGAUAAAUGCCGGAGGGAUAAACUUUUCCUUAAACAAGUCCUUAAAUAAUUCUCAAUCAGCUGUUUCCUCCGGUGACAACAAUUAACAAUCCUGUUUCCACCAGGAUACAAAUUCAUACCCAAAACCAGGUAGUCGUCUCGACCCCUUGUCAGAAGGAAGAUUCCUUUGACUUGCAUAAUCCAAAACUUCUUUUCCAAACGGUUAAACCGUUACUUCGCUCCCUCAGGUUCAUCAUUUCAUAAGGUGAUUCAAAUUCGACUCAUAAUCCGUCUUAAAAUGUCCCUUUUUAUAAUAGAUUGAAUCACCAUAAUAAUAGUUUUCCCUAAACCGCUAUAUUAGGGAGAUUAAAUUCCUCUAACUAAGUGGCUUGCUACGAGGCGGUGUAGUUCUGACAGAAUUCACUAGAAACUUCUCAAGAUGUCCAAGAUUGCAACCAUGCUCUGAUACCAACUGACACACCCCGUCCCGAAGGAGGGCAUGCUGGCCGUCACGUGAGAGUGACGUAACCAUUUGCACAGUACGGAAGCUUUAAGAUACAAUUUAUAAGUUGAUACACCCGAAGGUGAGUCCUAAUUUUGUCCAAUCUGUCAGAACACCGUCAAAUUCCUCGUAGCCACCACACCUCAGCUAUUCUUUAACCUGGAGGGGCGCAAAACCAAAAUUGAGUGGGUCAGUAAAACAAUUCUUUUCAAAUCCAAUUUUUUCUCAAAGCAUUGUAACCCCUCUCCGUAAAACCUGUAUACUUUCCCAGAAAUGUAAAAUAUAAAUAUACAUAUAUAUUCUCAAAACUUCAUUUUUACUAUCUCAACAUUUUUCUUUAUCAAUCAUGUCAUGCCAUGUCUAAUUCAACAGUUAAGUAUGGAUGCAUCAACAAUAAUCAUAUCAG